rnacentral:SRP_RNA from 1 species
ACUGGGAUCCGGGGAUCCUGGGAGGCUGAGGCAGGAGGCGCGCUUGAGCCCAGGCGUUCUGGGCCGCAGUGCGCUGUGCCCAUUGGGGGUCCCCGUUAAGCUGGACAUCAAGAUGGUGACCUCCCGGGAGCGGGGGACCACCAGGUUGUCUGAAGAGGGGUGAACCGGCCCAGGUCGGAAACGGGGCAGGUCAAAACUGGCGUGCCGAUCCGGAGUGAGGCCGCACCUGUGCACGGCCGGUGCUCUCCAGCCUGGGCAGCGCAGCGAGACCCCGUCUCCU